GGCGCAUUAGCUGGUUGGAGGGGUAACGGCCCACCAAGGCGACGAUGCGUAGCCGACCUGAGAGGGUGAUCGGCCACACUGGGACUGAGACACGGCCCAGACUCCUACGGGAGGCAGCAGUAGGGAAUCUUCGGCAAUGGGCGAAAGCCUGACCGAGCAACGCCGCGUGAGUGAGGAAGGCCUUCGGGUCGCAAAGCUCUGUUGCCAAGGAAGAACGUCUUCUAGAGUAACUGCUAGGAGAGUGACGGUACUUGAGAAGAAAGCCCCGGCUAACUACGUGCCAGCAGCCGCGGUAAUACGUAGGGGGCAAGCGUUGUCCGGAAUUAUUGGGCGUAAAGCGCGCGCAGGCGGUUCUUUAAGUCUGGUGUUUAAACCCGAGGCUCAACUUCGGGUCGCACUGGAAACUGGGGGACUUGAGUGCAGAAGAGGAGAGUGGAAUUCCACGUGUAGCGGUGAAAUGCGUAGAUAUGUGGAGGAACACCAGUGGCGAAGGCGACUCUCUGG
rnacentral:rRNA from 1 species